AGAGUUUGAUCCUGGCUCAGGACGAGCGCUGGCGGCGUGCUUAACACAUGCAAGUCGAACGAUGAACCACUUCGGUGGGGAUUAGUGGCGAACGGGUGAGUAACACGUGGGCAAUCUGCCCUGCACUCUGGGACAAGCCCUGGAAACGGGGUCUAAUACCGGAUAACACUGUGGGCCUCAUGGUCUGCGGUUAAAAGCUCCGGCGGUGCAGGAUGAGCCCGCGGCCUAUCAGCUUGUUGGUGAGGUAAUGGCUCACCAAGGCGACGACGGGUAGCCGGCCUGAGAGGGCGACCGGCCACACUGGGACUGAGACACGGCCCAGACUCCUACGGGAGGCAGCAGUGGGGAAUAUUGCACAAUGGGCGAAAGCCUGAUGCAGCGACGCCGCGUGAGGGAUGACGGCCUUCGGGUUGUAAACCUCUUUCAGCAGGGAAGAAGCGCAAGUGACGGUACCUGCAGAAGAAGCGCCGGCUAACUACGUGCCAGCAGCCGCGGUAAUACGUAGGGCGCAAGCGUUGUCCGGAAUUAUUGGGCGUAAAGAGCUCGUAGGCGGCUUGUCACGUCGGGUGUGAAAGCCCGGGGCUUAACCCCGGGUCUGCAUUCGAUACGGGCUAGCUAGAGUGUGGUAGGGGAGAUCGGAAUUCCUGGUGUAGCGGUGAAAUGCGCAGAUAUCAGGAGGAACACCGGUGGCGAAGGCGGAUCUCUGGGCCGUUACUGACGCUGAGGAGCGAAAGCGUGGGGAGCGAACAGGAUUAGAUACCCUGGUAGUCCACGCCGUAAACGGUGGGAACUAGGUGUUGGCGACAUUCCACGUCGUCGGUGCCGCAGCUAACGCAUUAAGUUCCCCGCCUGGGGAGUACGGCCGCAAGGCUAAAACUCAAAGGAAUUGACGGGCCCGCACAAGCAGCGGAGCAUGUGGCUUAAUUCGACGACGCGAAGAACCUUACCAAGGCUUGACAUACACCGGAAAGCAUUAGAGAUAGUGCCCCCCUUGUGGUCGGUGUACAGGUGGUGCAUGGCUGUCGUCAGCUCGUGUCGUGAGAUGUUGGGUUAAGUCCCGCAACGAGCGCAACCCUUGUCCUGUGUUGCCAGCGUGCCCUUCGGGGUGACGGGGACUCACAGGAGACCGCCGGGGUCAACUCGGAGGAAGGUGGGGACGACGUCAAGUCAUCAUGCCCCUUAUGUCUUGGGCUGCACACGUGCUACAAUGGCCGGUACAAUGAGCUGCGAUACCGUGAGGUGGAGCGAAUCUCAAAAAGCCGGUCUCAGUUCGGAUUGGGGUCUGCAACUCGACCCCAUGAAGUCGGAGUUGCUAGUAAUCGCAGAUCAGCAUUGCUGCGGUGAAUACGUUCCCGGGCCUUGUACACACCGCCCGUCACGUCACGAAAGUCGGUAACACCCGAAGCCGGUGGCCCAACCCCCUUGUGGGGAGGGAGCUGUCGAAGGUGGGACUGGCGAUUGGGACGAAGUCGUAACAAGGUA
rnacentral:rRNA from 1 species